rnacentral:rRNA from 1 species
CACCACCCGUCACAUUAUAGGAGCUGGCCAUGUUUGAAGUCAUUACCCUUAACCAUAAAGAGGGGGAUGCCUAAGGCUAGGCUUGCGACUGGAGUGAAGUCGUAACAAGGUAGCCGUACUAGAAGGUGCGGUUG